CCCGGGCUAAACCAGGACUAAACCAGGUCUAAACCAGGACUAAACCAGGACUAAACCAGGACUAAACCAUCACGUGUGAACACAGCUUAUAUCAGGACAGUGAAGUAGAUUCCCAGUGGUAACACUGCAAAAAAAAUCCUGCUUGUUUCCAUGGAGAUGCUUUGCCUAGAAUAUUCCACAGUAUCACAUUAAACUUGUCUAUCUCCAUGACCACAAGGUAACAUACCAGGCCAAGUCACAGGUCAGAUCUGCGGAGAGACGACUCCGUUCACAGUAAGAACGCACGUUUUUCAAGUUGUUUUUGAGUAACAAAAGUGUGUAAUGAUAUCAAUUCUAGAAGGAUCUGUUUAAUGCCAUAUUGCGGAACAUUCCAGGCUACGCAACGACAUCUCCAUGGAGACGCACGGACGGCAACGCCUCUAACAGAAAAGUUCCACAGUGUACCUUUAAGCACUGUGCUGUUAAAAACGAUUCAUGACGUAAUUUGCAAAUGAGACGUGGCUUGAAAACGACGUAUCGAAACACGACCUCGUAAUAAAAUCAUAAAAUAAAACGUAAACUGUUCGAUAUUUGUCUUUCUGUGCUUUUAAGAAACGUUUAUCUCAAAAAUAGUGUUUACUCUGCGAUCCAACCUCUUUAGUCCUGAAACAGUGACAUUUUAAAGUACUUUGGGCAUCUCCGCCUUCGUCCACCGCUGUCGGGCGAGGUUAGCUUGAUGCUAUAAUGGAGGCACAAGGGCUAAAGCUAAAAAUAAUAAAUCUCCACAAAAAAAUAAUAAAUAAUCAAAAUAUAAGAAUAAUAAAAGUCGUUAAAUAAACUCAGAAAAUAACGAUUCAUCCCAACGUUAAAGUCACGGGGUCAAAGGUCUUUACAUGAGGUCGCUUUGGUUUUGUCCACAAUGAUACGCCACAACGGACUGGAGUCACGAUACCGAUACCGAUACCACCAGGACCGUCAUUUCUGUCAAUGGGACUUUUUCAGUAUCGAUACCUGUGAACAAUGAGGAUUUAGAUUUGAUACUAGUUUUAGCAUCGAUUAGAUCAGAUUUUCGAUACUUUUGACAAUCGAGGACUUUAGUUUUCAAAUGGUGCGUUAACCUGGAACUAAACCAGGACUAGAACUGGUCUGAACUGGGACUAAAACCGGACUAGAACAGGUCUAAACCAGGACUAGAACAGGUCUAAACCAGGACUAGAACAGG
ensembl:lncRNA